CCCCAAAGGGACCAGCAAAAGGGCACCUUGUACAGUCUCUUGUGGGAAGGACUACCACCCCAACUAUCAGAGAGGGCAAGCCCACAGACACCACCUUGUCUGAAAGCCGAAGUGGACGCCUCAGGUAUCACGGCACCAGCGUCUCGAGCCCUAUUAAGACAGUCCUCCUUCAGGCUGACAUGGAGGCAAUCUGCAGGGAGGGCUUGGAAGACGCAAUGUGAGGCUCAUUGUACGAUUUGCUUAGAUCCUGGAGUUGGAGAGCUGGAAAGGAAGGGUCUCAUGGCCCCGUGAUGAUACAAGGAGGUCCAAGCACUCAUUGAAAGGAGGGUUCCCGGAUCGUCCACGUCUCCUCUACUGCGCAAGAGGGUCUGUGUCCCACCGAGAUGCCACGUUGCACGUUGGUGUUCGCCGAGUUCUGGAGUCCCGCCGAAGUCGCAGUUCGGAGGUUCUGUUUUUGCUCUCCCCCAGGGCUGCUGUGCCGUCAUUGGGGAGAUUCAACAAACAGUGGCAGACAGCUGGUGGGCCUCCUCUGUGCUACAACCCCCAGAGGCCAGACACGCAGGGACCCUGAAGCUUUGCAUUCUCCCUCCCUCCACUCCUCCACGACUUCCUCCCAAGCCUGAGUCUCUUGUCUAGCAUCUGUUCUCCCCAUCCUAUCUUCUGCAGCUUCUUAAAACUCGGGGGUGGCAAGGAGGAUGGCGGGGGUGGGGAGGGGGGACCACGCCGCACAUUGCCCUCAGGGAGGCCUCCUUGCAAAUGCCCCAGGCUCUGGGACCUCAGACAUGUGCACUCAAUCUGUAUCUUCUCCCCGAGCCAGUCUGUGUUUCAGAAUGAGCUCCCCAGCUUUGCUUACUUUCCCUCCAGCUGUCCUGGUUCUUAGCUCUUGGGAUAGGGCCUGCUGUGUGUAGUGGGGGUUCCUUCCACUCACGGCCAAGGCCCGAGGAAGACCCCUUCUCUUUGCGACAAGUCCCUGCUGGGAUACCUAAUAGUCAACGGGCCCGGUGGAGGAAGUGGGGAGAGAUGAAUCUUGUCCCCACAGGCGGGCUCAAGCUCUAGGGAAGUUAGGGUACUUGGGGAUGAGAGCUCCAGCUGCUCAGGCUGCUCUGGAGUCUAAUGCAGUGUCAACUUGGGCAUUUGAUUCCAGAACAGGGAGGAUGAGUAAUAGGUCACUGAGACUUCUAUCUGGGUACUGCCGCUGCUCCUGAACCGGGGAGGUGGGGAGAGGGGGGCCUUGGACUCAGCUGGUGCUCUGGUUGGGAAUGAGGGCCUGGGCCCCCUGCCUGCAGGACACCGAGGGAGGCAGAGACAGCCGGUGGGCAGCUGACGGGGCAGGGAGUGGCUGUUCUUCUUAAUGGCUCUCAUGGCCCAACAGUUUCCACUGGGUAGUGUGGUGCUGGGGCCCAGGGGAGCCUGGCAGUGGGGAGGAUCCAGCAUGGCCCACAGAGCCAAUUCUGGGGGGUCUGGGAGUAAGGGCAAGGCAGAUACAGCAGCUUAUUUGUUCUAGAUCAGGGUGGCCUCUGGGUCUAUUUUGGCCAGAGGCCUGGGACCACCUUGCCUCUUGGGUGGGGAUGGCAAGGUGUCUCCGACUUGAACAGGGGAGACUGACGGAAGAAGGGAGGGUUGGCUCCCCAGCUUUCCUCACCGCAUCCACGCGCUGCUGUUAGGACUUAGGGAACCUGUUGCUUUACCUUGGCUCCUUUGAGGAUGUGGAGAUAGUGAGGGCAGAAAAGGGCGGUCCUCCAGGCCUCAGACACCCCAGCCUUCCUCCCUCUGGGCACGGACAGCUGCUGGGGAGCUCAUCCCCGGUUCCCUUUCCCGGGGGGAAGGGGGUGGAGCACCCAAGUUUCCCCCACCUACUCCCAACUGACUUUUCCCUGCCCGACUCCAGAAUCAGCUCCCCUCUUUCCCUCUCUGCCUCUGGUUAGGCCCCAAACCUGUGUGUUCUUCCUCUCGUCCCUUCCUUUCCUCCAGCUGUUCCCGUGCGACCGUUGCCGCUCGUGACAUCUGCCAGGUGAUCUUCCCCGACAUGAACAGGAUCACCUCAUCCCUAUUCCCUCCGUGAGGGAGCUGGAACUUCAGAGAGGUUUUAACCUAUGGGCAACUCCACAGAAGCAUGUUGCUGAGAAACAUUUCUGGAGACCGAGCCCAGGCUCAAGGGAACAAACCACUGAUGGGCAGAGUCUGAGGUAGCUGUCACAAGUGAUGGCACUGUUGGCCCCCAGGAUGAAGUCUUUUUUAUCUCAGCAUGGGACAGCCCCCUUGCGCUAGCCAGCCAUAGCAGAGGACAUCUGUGGUUCUUGAAUGGUGAUACCUCUAGAACCCUCUCCUCUCCUCAGUCAGCAGGCUGAGGCCUACAACAAAACAGAGAUGUCACCUCUCUUGACCCCUUGCUUACUGUC